rnacentral:tmRNA from 1 species
UCACUUCACAUUAAGCCAGCGAUCUCUAUAUGGGUCCUCGCCGGUUUCGGCCGGCUAUGGCGAUAAACUGCAGUGUGCAAUAGGCACAGCGGACCCGGGGGCAGUACCCGGCGGCUCCACCAAAAUCCUCGGGAAACCGGGGGCUCUGACGGGGCCGAACCAGGAUCGACGUGUGUUGAAAAGCACUGUUUUUGCCCGGGCUGAGUAACCCGCAUAAGGCUCAAAACACACAAGUGCCAACGAUAACGAAGCACUUGCUCUCGCUGCGUAACCUGACGGCCUAACGGCCUGAUCUUACAAAGCUAGAGCACGGUUCGGACCGAACCGGGUAACAGAAUCGGAAACC